rnacentral:rRNA from 1 species
AUUGAACGCUGGCGGCAGGCCUAACACAUGCAAGUCGAACGGUAGCACAGAGGAGCCUGCUCCUUGGGUGACGAGUGGCGGACGGGUGAGUAAUGUCUGGGAAACUGCCCGAUGGAGGGGGAUAACUACUGGAAACGGUAGCUAAUACCGCAUAACGUCUUCGGACCAAAGUGGGGGACCUUCGGGCCUCACACCAUCGGAUGUGCCCAGAUGGGAUUAGCUAGUAGGUGGGGUAAUGGCUCACCUAGGCGACGAUCCCUAGCUGGUCUGAGAGGAUGACCAGCCACACUGGAACUGAGACACGGUCCAGACUCCUACGGGAGGCAGCAGUGGGGAAUAUUGCACAAUGGGCGCAAGCCUGAUGCAGCCAUGCCGCGUGUAUGAAGAAGGCCUUCGGGUUGUAAAGUACUUUCAGCGGGGAGGAAGGCGUUAAGGUUAAUAACCUUGGCGAUUGACGUUACCCGCAGAAGAAGCACCGGCUAACUCCGUGCCAGCCGCCGCUGUAA